GCGCAAAAUGGCUUUGCGCAUGUAUUGCUUUUACCAGCGGGGUUCAUGCAGCAGGCACAUACGAGUAGUCUUAUCGUGAACUGUCGCGUCGUUGCUUGCUCGGCUUCAAUAUGUGCAAUCACAGCCAGUUUCGUGUCGGUCUCUAGUUCGUCGUUCAGACGCGUUUCUGCCAGUAGCAACUGGCGGCAAUAGUAACCUGUUAAUAAUUGUUUGCGCGUUUAGUGUCCAUAAAUGUUUUUUUUUGCUCUCGUUUGAUAUUUAUAUUCCAAAUUACAAGAAUGCUACGGUUUUAUUGUCGGUUAUUGUGUGACGUUGUCGGUCGCCGGAUAAAUCGACAAUAUAUUGCUGCGACGUUGCUUCCCGUUAUUAAGAGGACCCUUCGUACAUGAUGCGCUUGCCGUACCCGUGCAAUCCGAUGAGCGCUGAAUUGAGCUUGCCAUCCUCGUGCAAUCCAAUGAGCGCUGAAUUGCAAUCGCCUUCAGGUUCCGACGGCCGAGUCACGAUCUAAAUUAGAAAUACUGAUUUUAAUUUUACAAGUCCAAACUUGCAAAAUAUCCAUGAAAAAUGCGUAAUUUUUCAUUCGGAUUUUGGCGUGUCGGUCUUGUAGUCGAACGCCUGCGGCGCUCCGAACUUAUCGGCGGACCACUUCGAGAACGCGUUCAAUGAGACAGUUAACCACUUCGAGUGCGUUAACUAAAGAAAGAAUAAUUGCCGGCCCCAACCUACAGCUGCGAUGUCUCUACGCUUCAUCCCCGGGUUUCUUAGGCACAUCAACAAUAUUCUUAGUGGGGACAGUCCUUGUGGUGAGGGAAAUAAGGAUAAUAAAUAAAUAUUUUAAACAAUA